GAUUACACCUGGCACCUUCCUUCACAGUACGGUACACCUCCAAUAUCUCAAAAGCUUUUAUGAGAACCGCCGAGAAAUUAGCUAUUUUAUCAGUUUGCAUAUUGGUAAUAGCAUUCUUAAGCUCUCUGACGUUAGCUAGAUUUGCUUGUACGAGAGAUUCGUUAAAACAUGGUACCACCUAUAUAGGAUAAGAACGUCUUUAGGACUGGUUGCUGCUUCAAUGUACCAGCUUCUUGUUCUACAGUCAAAGAGGUCAACGCGUGAAGGAUCCAUUGGCCACCUUAUAGCAGGAUAUUGUCUCAUGAAUCCUGUGGCGCUGCCGAAAUAUUGCCAGGACAAUGAUGGAUCUUGUUCGUAAUUAUGAAUGAACGUUUUAUCGAGUUCCUCGGACCAUUUGAUAGCCCGUAGAACAUUAUCAGCUCUGUCGUAGACAUUUGUCGAGACUCAUUUCCCAUUGCCGAAAGUGCUGACGUCUCUGCGACAUCCAUAAUACGCUAAUGGACAAGAAUCAGAAGUUCACUUGAGAUGUUUUGGACAAUUUUCACAUCGUCAAGAUUUUGAAUACCGGAAGACAGGGUGUCAAUCAUCACACACAAACAAUCAGGACUGUUCGAUUCUCUAUAAAGAAAUUGCAACCCCUCAAACAGCAGAUUUAUUCCAGUUGACGUGAACUUACGUGCUAAAGGAUAUACCAUCUUCUCGUCCGUGUAUCUCCGUAAGGAUGAGAAAGACGAUCGCUGGUAGGAAACAGACCUUCAUAACGCGCGAAACGAGUAACUCUGGCUGGCUUACAGCUGUUUAUACACCGGAAUAGUAAACAAAACUGAACAGAAGAGAAGCAGC